rnacentral:tRNA from 1 species
GGGCCCAUAGCUCAGUGGUCAGAGCGAGCGGCUCAUAACCGCCAGGUCGUUGGUUCGAUCCCAACUGGGCCCA